UACGUAGGGUGCGAGCGUUGUCCGGAAUUAUUGGGCGUAAAGGGCUCGUAGGCGGUUUGUCGCGUCGGGAGUGAAAACCAGGUGCUUAACACCUGGCUUGCUUUCGAUACGGGCAAACUAGAGUACUGCAGGGGAGACUGGAAUUCCUGGUGUAGCGGUGAAAUGCGCAGAUAUCAGGAGGAACACCGGUGGCGAAGGCGGGUCUCUGGGCAGUAACUGACGCUGAGGAGCGAAAGCGUGGGGAGCGAACAGG
rnacentral:rRNA from 1 species